GAUGAACGCUAGCUACAGGCUUAACACAUGCAAGUCGAGGGGCAGCGGGAUUGAAGCUUGCUUCAAUUGCCGGCGACCGGCGCACGGGUGAGUAACGCGUAUCCAACCUUCCGUACACUCAGGGAUAGCCUUUCGAAAGAAAGAUUAAUACCUGAUGGUGUGAUGAGAUCGCAUGGUAUCAUCAUUAAAGAUUUAUCGGUGUACGAUGGGGAUGCGUUCCAUUAGGUAGUAGGCGGGGUAACGGCCCACCUAGCCUACGAUGGAUAGGGGUUCUGAGAGGAAGGUCCCCCACAUUGGAACUGAGACACGGUCCAAACUCCUACGGGAGGCAGCAGUGAGGAAUAUUGGUCAAUGGACGAGAGUCUGAACCAGCCAAGUAGCGUGCAGGAUGACGGCCCUAUGGGUUGUAAACUGCUUUUAUAAGGGAAUAAAGUGAGUCUCGUGAGGCUUUUUGCAUGUACCUUAUGAAUAAGGACCGGCUAAUUCCGUGCCAG
rnacentral:rRNA from 1 species